GACGAACGCUGGCGGCGUGCUUAACACAUGCAAGUCGAACGAAGUGGCGAACGGGUGAGUAACGCGUAGUCAACCUGCCCUUCAGAGGGGGACAACAGUGGGAAACGACUGCUAAUACCGCAUACUGAAGGAGGGGAUUGCGUCUGAUUAGCUCGGUGGAGGGGUAACGGCCAACCAAGGCGAUGAUCAGUAGCCGGUCUGAGAGGAUGAACGGCCACAUUGGGACUGAGACACGGCCCAGACUCCUACGGGAGGCAGCAGUAGGGAAUCUUCGGCAAUGGACGAAAGUCUGACCGAGCAACGCCGCGUGAGUGAAGAAGGCGUUCGGAUCGUAAAACUCUGUUGGUAGAGAAGCGGUACCUAACCAGAAAGCCACGGCUAACUACGUGCCAGCAGCCGCGGUAAUAC
rnacentral:rRNA from 1 species